GGAAGUGAGCAUAAAUUAUUCUUGGAUGACAGGUCUGCCCCCCAGGAUCUCAGCCAAAGCGCCCUUCUAGCGGUGACUGAAUGUGCCAUAACCUUAGAUAGAAUUCUAAUGAGGUCAGUGGAGGAUUCCAAAAGCCAGUCACUGGCGAGUUUGAUAUCCCUUAAGGAUUCCGCCAUCUGACGUCUACUGACACCUUUAUCUAUGUCAUCCUCCAAGUCAAGCAACC